rnacentral:rRNA from 1 species
AUGGGCGCGAGCGCGGAUCGCCGUCGCCGCUGCCCGCUCCUCUUCUACUGCCCCACGAGCGCGGAUUUCAGUCGCCGCCAUCCGCUCCUACUCUACUGCCCCAUGGACGUGAGCAUGGGCCGUCGUCGCCGCCUACCGCUCUCCUCUGCUGCCCCAUGGACGCGGGCAAGUACCAUUUGUUCUACGACACUACCAUCUGACAGGAUUUUUUUACAUUUACUUGAGUGUAUUGGAUUGGGUAAACUAAUUAGCCCUAUGUAUCAGUUUCUGGUGUGCGAUUCUAAUGUUCUUAACUCAUCAGGCCGGGCUACUGAGUAUACAUAUUGUGUUCAUCUCGCCUUCCUUCUUAGGAAAAAUCAUGUACUGAAGAGAGUAGAAACAUCGCAUGCAGAAAUCUUCAAGAAAGAUGUGAUUGAAGUUGUAACCGAUGAAAUGCCUGCUGGUGAAGCUAUCAUGGAUCCAACUCACCACCUAAUUGGCGACAAAGCCUGGCUCCACAUGGUUCUACCACUGCUCUCACACAUGGUGUUCGGGCUACUUCCACCAGUGCUCUGCGGGUUGUCGUUCCGCGAGAGUAACGACAGGGAGAACAAGAUGAUGGACGUCACCAGUGCUUCGCUUGCCUGCAUCGCUCUGCUAGCGCUCGGGAAGCCCACUCUCCCAGCCCGCUUGGCUGUUCCUGAAUUCAGAGCACAAGAGCUCGACUUCGUGAGAUAUUUGGGAUUGCUCGUUCGACUUACCGCUUCGCCCGCUCUCAAGCGAAAAGAAACAGGCCAGACGUGUGCUACAGAAGACGAACGGAAGCGCGACACGGGAGGUCCCGGCGGCGCUGGUCAGCCCCUCUCCACCCUCCUCCUUCUCCCAUCUCUCCGGCGGAUCCGCUCCUCCCCUGUGUGCCUACCUCUCUCUCCGCGCACCUGCCUCCCUCCUCGCGAGCCCGUCCUCCCUCCCCAUGCGUCCGCCCCACUGGCCGUCGUUGGCCUGACCCACCACCGCGCGCAUGCCCCCAUGGCAGAUGGCUCCCGUCCCUCCCCGUGCGUCCGUCCCACUAGCCCCCUCCCUUUCCUAGGCAGAAAACCCAAUCCCCUGAUCCCUUCAAACCCCCACACUAUGUGCUGA